rnacentral:rRNA from 1 species
UACGAAGGGGGGCGAGCGUUGUUCGGAAUUACUGGGGCGUAAAGGGCGCGUAGGCGGCGAUCCGAGUCAGAUGUGAAAGUCCUGGGCUUAACCUGGGGGACUGCAUUUGAUACUGGAUUGCUUGAAUUCGGGAGAGGAUAGCGGAAUUCCCAGUGUAGAGGUGAAAUUCGUAGAUAUUGGGAGAACACCGGUGGCGAAGGCGGCUAUCUGGACCGACAUUGACGCUGAGGCGCGAAAGCGUGGGGAGCAAAC